CAAGUGCCGCGGGAAUACGUAGGGCGCAAGCGUUGUCCGGAAUUAUUGGGCGUAAAGAGCUCGUAGGCGGUCUGUCGCGUCUGGUGUGAAAUCCCGAGGCUCAACCUCGGGCUUGCAUCGGGUACGGGCAGACUAGAGUGCGGUAGGGGAGACUGGAAUUCCUGGUGUAGCGGUGGAAUGCGCAGAUAUCAGGAGGAACACUGAUGGCGAAGGCAGGUCUCUGGGCCGCAACUGACGCUGAGGAGCGAAAGCAUGGGGAGCGAACAGGAUUAGAUACCCCUGUAGUCCCUGUCUCUUAUAA
rnacentral:rRNA from 1 species